GAUGGAUGCUGACUGCAGCUGGGAAACAUCUGGCACUGUUCAGAAAAAGAAGUGCAAAGGUGACAGCCUCCUUUACUGGCUAGCUGGGGCCAGUUCAGCAGCUUGCACCACCUGCCAGCAGACCCAAGCAAUCCAGGACAGCCAGACCCUCCUUGCCUUUGGAUUCAUCUGGACUUGAAAGGGAAACUGAAAUGGGCCAACAGAGGAAGAAUGAGGCAGGGUGAAAAACAAAGAACUGAGGUGGAAACCUGAAGAAAAGUCCCUCAGUCUUGGAGCUGGAAAAGCAAGGAAAGGACAAUAACUAAGCUGGUGAAAUGUGCUGGAACAACCACUCUGAAAAUGUCAUCUCUCUUACCUUUGUAUUGAGGCAGUAUGGCAAAGGGACAUGA